GCAGGACCAAAGUCCCAGUUUCCUCUCCCUUCUUUCUCCCAGUGACUCCAAGGUGAGAUCAGCAGAUUGUGUGUGAUGACGAGGUGGAUAUUAAACUUGCCAACGUGCUGUGCUGGCAGCUGGGCUUCCAGCACAGCUUCACCUGGGCACACAGUGCCAAGUUCGGCCAAGGACAAGUCUCUCCACAUCAAACCAGCUCUGCUGAACAAGUUACAUCACAGCCACCAUCACAUAAAUCUGAUGUUCCUUUAUUCUACAUUCUGCCUGCGGUCUUCGCUCUGCUUCUGAUCCUGACAUUUGUCCUUUUGCUGGUUUUAAAAUACAAAUCAAGGAUCAAGCAAGUGGAUGGAAUCAAUGCAAACGUGUUGAACUCUGCUGAUAGUAAUGUGGAGAUGAGAAUCAAUGAUGUCUAUGAUUUACAAGAGGAUGUUGUUUACAUGAACUCUUCCACUCCAAACAUGUUGAAUCGUGAUAACAAUGAUAUCUACAACAACAUCCUUUAAAGGAGACCAGCAGAAGUUAAGAACCACGUGACCAAUGUUUCUAACAUCUUGUGUGUGAUGAUGGCCCCCUGCCUGCUGUUUUGCAUUUUGCCUGUUAAUUUUCAUUCAAUGAGGGUCUUGGAGUUGGGAGUCGCUUAUAAUCACUUGUCCACCUGAAUCAUGUAUCCAGGGGCCUGGAUGACCAUUCAUGGACAUCCAGGCCCAGAAGCAGAGAGAGCUAGAGGUCAGAUCAAGAGGCGGAGCCAGGAACCAGAAGGUGUGGGUUGCUUCAGUCGCUUGACACGAUGUGGGAACCAGUUCGUGGUUCAGAUGGACCACAUGUGGAGGCGUCGCAUGACCAGACCUGGGAGCAGAGGCUGAGGCCUGUGGGGGCAAACCAGUCCAUGACUGAGGGAGAUCUGCACCAGGCGGAGGACCAGGCCGAAGGGAGCACACGCCGGUGUAGCGGUUCUUGGGCUGCUGCCCACUAAAUCUAGACAAUCAUUUUAAUAAUAAAUGCCUCU